rfam:Brachypodium distachyon strain Bd21 chromosome 1, whole genome shotgun sequence.
AAUAUACUCCGUCCAACAAAGUAUGUAUCAACUUUGAUCAAAUUUGAAUGUAUCUAUACAUUAAGUCAUGUCAUAGAUAUAUUCAAAUUUUGAUAAAUUUAAGACAUGUUUUGUUGGACGGAGGAAGUAUAUA